rnacentral:ncRNA from 1 species
ACGAGUAUCCAUUGGAGGGCAAGUCUGGUGCCAGCAGCCGCGGUAAUUCCAGCUCCAAAAGUAUAUAUUUAAGUUGUUGCGGUUAAAAAGCUCGUAGUUGGAUUUUGGGCGCAGGCGGCCGGUCCGUCGCAAGGCGUGUACUGGACGUCCUGGCCUUCCCUCCGGUUCUCCGCCGGUGCUCUUGACUGAGUGUCGGCGGCGGCCGGAACGUUUACUUUGAAAAAAUUAGAGUGUUCAAAGCAGGCUCUCGAGCCUGGAUAAUGGUGCAUGGAAUAAUGGAAUAGGACCUCGGUUCUAUUUUGUUGGUUUUCGGAGCGCGAGGUAAUGAUUAAGAGGGACAGACGGGGGCAUUCGUACUGUGCCGUUAGAGGUGAAAUUCUUGGAUCGGCGCAAGACGAACGACUGCGAAAGCAUUUGCCAAGAAUGUUUUCUUUAAUCCUUAACCACCUUAUGCACUUGGCCAUGCCAUAUCGCCCGGCUGGCUAUGUACAAGAAAAACUCACGAUCUAAA